CCAAUAGCGUAUAUUAAAGUUGUUGCAGUUAAAAAGCUCGUAGUUGAAUUUCGGGAUCAGUACGUUGGUCGUGCCUUCGGUACGUACUGGCGUUACUGGUUCCUACCUUCUGAGGAACCGUCAUGUCAUUAAUUUGGUGUGGUGGGAAAUCAGGACUGUUACUUUGAAAAAAUUAGAGUGUUUAAAGCAGGCUCGCGCUUGAAUACAUUAGCAUGGAAUAAUGAAAUAGGACGUUCGAUCCUAUUUUGUUGGUUUCUAGGAUUGACGUAAUGAUUAAUAGGGAUAGUUGGGGGCAUUAGUAUUCAAUUGUCAGAGGUGAAAUUCUUGGAUUUAUUGAAGACUAACUACUGCGAAAGCAUUUGCCAAGGAUGUUUUCAUUAAUCAAGAACGAAAGUUAGGGGAUCGAAGACGAUCAGAUACCGUCGUAGUCUUAACCAUAAACUAUGCCGACUAGGGAUCGGAUGAUGUUAUUUUUAAUGACUCAUUCGGCGCCUUACG
rnacentral:rRNA from 1 species